rnacentral:rRNA from 1 species
UACAGAGGGGGCAAGCGUUAUUCGGAAUUAUUGGGCGUAAAGGGCGCGUAGGCGGCCUGGCAAGUGGAUGGUGAAAUCCCUCGGCUUAACCGAGGAACUGCCAUCCAGACUGCUUGGCUUGAGACCGGGAGAGGUGAGUGGAAUUCCCAGUGUAGCGGUGAAAUGCGUAGAUAUUGGGAGGAACACCAGUGGCGAAGGCGGCAUCCUGGACCGACACUGACGCUGAGGCGCGAAAGCUAGGGUAGCAAACGGG